rnacentral:rRNA from 1 species
UACGUAGGCAGCAAGCGUUGUUCGGAAUUACUGGGCGUAAAGAGUGUGUAGGCGGUUCUCUAUGUUCGGUGUGAAAUCUCCCGGCUUAACUGGGAGGGUGCGCCGAAAACUGGAGGGCUUGAGUAUGGGAGAGGAAAGCGGAAUUCCUGGUGUAGCGGUGAAAUGCGUAGAUAUCCGGAGGAACACCGGUGGCGAAGGCGGCUUCCUGGACCGACACUGACGCUGAGGCGCGAAAGCUAGGGGAGCAAACGGG